GUAGGUGGCAAGCGUUGUCCGGAUUUAUUGGGUUUAAAGGGUGCGUAGGUGGCUGUUUAAGUCAGUGGUGAAAUACGGUUGCUCAACAAUCGAGGUGCCAUUGAUACUGAAUAGCUUGAAAUAAUUGGAGGCUGCCGGAAUGGAUGGUGUAGUGGUGAAAUGCAUAGAUAUCAUCCAGAACACCGAUUGCGAAGGCAGGUGGCUACGAUUUAUUUGACACUGAGGCACGAAAGCAUGGGGAGCAAACAGGAUUAGAUACCCUGGUAGUCCAUGCCGUAAACGAUGAGGACUCGCUGUUGGUGUUCAUGCAUCAGCGGCUUAGGGAAACCGUUAAGUCCUCCACCUGGGGAGUACGCCGGCAACGGUG
rnacentral:rRNA from 1 species